GUGCCUGUGGUCUGCAGGCCUCACCGGGUGUUGUGGCCGCUGCUGCUCCGCAGAGCCUCGUGAUCAGGAAGAAAAGCAACUAGGAACAAUGAGGUCCCUUUUCUUCCUGUUCAUUGUUCACCUUUUAGCCUUGGGCUCUGGUAAAGCUGUAUUCAAGAAUGGUGUUUCUCAGCGAACAUUUCGAGAAAUAAAAGAAGAAAUAGCCAACUAUGAAGAUGUUGCUAAAGCAAUUAUCAACCUUGCUGUUUAUGGACCUUGAGAUCACCUCUGGAUCACAGAUGAGUGGAACGCAACAUCAGCUCUAAAGAAUUGCAGAGGGUCUUGUGCCAGCAGGAACAGGGACAAAGAAACCCUGCCCGACCAGAGGCUGGGAUUUUUCUGGUCGGGGCCAGCCACACCAUCUUUCAUGUGAACCCAGCUGACAGCAUAGAGGGCCCAAGAGGACUCUUUACUCUGCAGGACCCCUAGCACACCCAGGACCUCAUGAUCACUGUAGAGCACCAGAGCUUCUUGGACAGGAUCCCCUCAGGCCUUCAUCCUCAGUCAGGAGGCCGAGAUGAGACCCAGACCCCAGGGCACCUUCCUUGCCAGAGGAGAGUCAACCAACAAGAAGGACUCUGAUCCCAAGACUCAGGAGGUGGAUUAGAGCUCUAGACUUCUGGACACCUGCCCUGCAAGAAGAGAGCUUGCCUGCAGGGAGUGCUCUGACCACUGGGACUAAGGUGAGAGUUGGACUCCCAGGAGUGCUGACAGAGGCUAACAAAAUCACAGGAGGAUCAAGUUCUAGCCAGAGACAGCUUGAACAUUAACUACAGAGAUUACCAGAUGGUGAAAGGCAAACAUAAGUAUCUUACUAACAGAAACCAAAAACACUGGGCAUCAUCAAAACCCAGUACGCCCAGCAUAGCGAGUCCUGGAUACCUCAACACAACCAAAAAAGCAAGACUCAGAUUUAAAAUCAUAUCUCAUGAUCGUGGUAGAAGAUUUUAAGAAGGGCAUUGAUAACUCACUUAAAGAAAUAUAGGAGAACACUGCUAAACAGGUAGAAGCCCUUAUGGAGGAAACACGAAAAUCCCUCAAGGAAUUACAGGAAAACACUGCUAUACAGAUAGAAGACCUUAAAGAGGAAACACAAAAAUCCCUAAAAGAACUACAGGCAAACACUACUAAACAGGUAGAAGGCCUUAAAGAAACACAACAAUCCCUUAAAGAAUUACAGGAAAACACAACCAAAUAGGUGAUGUAAUUGAACAAAACCAUCUAAGAUCUAAAUAUGGAAGUAGAAACAAUGAAGAAAACCCAGAGGGAGACUUCAACACCCCACUCUCACCAAUGGACAGAUCCUGGAAACAGAAACUAAACAGAGACACAUGGACACUAACAGAACUUAUGAAACAAAUGGAUUUAACAGAUAUCUACAGAACAUUUUAUUCUAAAACAAAAGGAUAUACCUUCUUCUCAGCACCUCAUGGUACCUCCACCAAAAUUGACGAUAUAAUUGGUCACAAAACAGGCCUCAAAAGAUACAAAAAUAUUCACAUUAUCCCAUGCAUCCUAUCAGAUCACAACAGACUAAGGCUGAUCUUCAAUAACAGCAUAAAUAAUAGAAAGCCAACAUUCACGUGGAAACUGAACAACAUUUUACUCAAGAUAACUUGGUCAAGGAUAAAGAAAGAAAUAAAUUAAAGACUUUUUAGAGUUUAAUGAAAAUGAAGCCACAACAUACCCAAACUUAUGGGGCACAAUGAAAGCAGUCUUAAAAGGAAAACUCAUAGCCCUGAGUGCCUCCAAAAAGAAUGUAGAAAAGCAUAAACUUGCAGCCUGACAGCACACCUAGAAGCUCUAGAAUGAAAGGAAGCAUAUUCAUGCAAGAGGAGUAGAUAGCAGGAAUUUAGAUCUGAAGUCAACCAAGUGGAAACAAUAAAAACUAUUCAAAGAAUCAACCAAAACCAGGAGCUGGUUCUUUGAGAAAAUCAACAACAUACAUAAACCCUUAACCAGACUAACUAAAGGGCACAGGAACAGUAUCCUAAUU
rnacentral:lncRNA from 1 species